AUCCUUUUGUAGUUCCUAAGCACGAUGAUGGGUUUUCAUGCACAUGUGUGAGAUGUGUUGCCCAUAAAUCUUGUUAUGAGGUUGGUACAUUACCCGUCUGAUG
ensembl:snoRNA